rnacentral:rRNA from 1 species
AGCGGCCCUAGUGGUGAUCGUUAUUAUUGGGCCUAAAGCGUCCGUAGCCGGCUCGGUAAAUCUCUGGGUAAAUCGAUAGGCUUAACUUAUCGAAUUCUGGGGAGACUGCCGGGCUUGGGAUCGGGAGAGGUCGGAGGUACUCCAGGGGUAGGGGUGAAAUCCUGUAAUCCUUGGGGGACCACCGGUGGCGAAGGCGUCCGACCAGAACGAGUCCGACGGUAAGGGACGAAGCCCUGGGGCGCAAACCG